UUGAACGCUGGCGGCAUGCCUUACACAUGCAAGUCGAACGGCAGCACGGGAGCAAUCCUGGUGGCGAGUGGCGAACGGGUGAGUAAUAUAUCGGAACGUGCCCGGUCGUGGGGGAUAACGUAGCGAAAGCUACGCUAAUACCGCAUACGAUCUACGGAUGAAAGCGGGGAUCGCAAGACCUCGCGCGAUUGGAGCGGCCGAUAUCAGAUUAGGUAGUUGGUGAGGUAAAGGCUCACCAAGCCGACGAUCUGUAGCUGGUCUGAGAGGACGACCAGCCACACUGGGACUGAGACACGGCCCAGACUCCUACGGGAGGCAGCAGUGGGGAAUUUUGGACAAUGGGCGCAAGCCUGAUCCAGCAAUGCCGCGUGCAGGAUGAAGGCCUUCGGGUUGUAAACUGCUUUGUACGGAACGAAACGGUGAGCUCUAAUACAGUUUGCUAAUGACGGUACCGUAAGAAUAAGCACCGGCUAACUACGUG
rnacentral:rRNA from 1 species